rnacentral:rRNA from 1 species
CUAUGCGCCUUGCCAGCCCGCUCAGGUGUGCCAGCCGCCGCGGUAAUACGUAGGUGGCAAGCGUUAUCCGGAAUUAUUGGGCGUAAAGAGCGCGCAGGUGGUUAAUUAAGUCUGAUGUGAAAGCCCACGGCUUAACCGUGGAGGGUCAUUGGAAACUGGUUGACUUGAGUGCAGAAGAGGGAAGUGGAAUUCCAUGUGUAGCGGUGAAAUGCGUAGAGAUAUGGAGGAACACCAGUGGCGAAGGCGGCUUCCUGGUCUGCAACUGACACUGAGGCGCGAAAGCGUGGGGAGCAAACAGG